ACUAAAUAGAUACCCCGGUAGUCCACGCCCUAAACGAUGUCUACUAGUUGUUGGUGGAGUAAAAUCCAUGAGUAAACGCAGCUAAACGCGUGAAGUAGACCGCCUGGGGAGUACAGUCGCAAGAUUAAAACUCAAAGGAAUCGACGGGGGCCCGCACAAGCGGUGGAUUAUGUGGAUUAAAUUCGAUGCAACGCGAAAAACCUUACCUGGCCUUGACAUGCCACUAACGAAGCAGAGAUGCAUUAGGUGCCCGUAAGGGAAAGUGGACACAGGUGCUGCAUGGCUGUCGUCAGCUCGUGUCGUGAGAUGUUGGGUUAAGUCCCGCAACGAGCGCAACCCUUGCCAUUAAUUGCCAUCAUUUAGUUGGGCACUUUAAUGGGACUGCCGGUGACAAACCGGAGGAAGGUGGGGAUGACGUCAAGUCCUCAUGGCCCUUAUGGCCAGGGCUUCACACGUAAUACAAUGGUCGGUACAGAGAGUUGCCAACCCGCGAGGGGAGCUAAUCUCAGAAAGCCGAUCGUAGUCCGGAUUGUUCUCUGC
rnacentral:rRNA from 1 species